rnacentral:rRNA from 1 species
GAUGAACGCUAGCGGCAGGCUUAAUACAUGCAAGUCGAGGGGCAGCAGGUCCCGCAGCAAUGCGGGAUGCUGGCGACCGGCAAACGGGUGCGGAACACGUACGCAACCUACCCAUAACUGGAGGACAGCCCGGGGAAACCCGGAUUAAUACUCCGUAACAUAUUGAGAAGGCAUCUUCUUACUAUUAUAGUCUUCGGGCGGUUAUGGAUGGGCGUGCGCCUGAUAGGUAGUUGGCGGGGUAACGGCCCACCAAGCCUACGAUCAGUAACUGGUGUGAGAGCACGACCAGUCACACGGGCACUGAGACACGGGCCCGACUCCUACGGGAGGCAGCAGUAAGGAAUAUUGGGCAAUGGACGCAAGUCUGACCCAGCCAUGCCGCGUGGAGGAUGAAGGUCCUCUGGAUUGUAAACUUUCUUUUAUCUGGGAAGAAAUCAUUGAAUUCUUUCGAUGUUGACGGUACCAGAUGAAUAAGCACCGG